rnacentral:rRNA from 1 species
UACGGAGGGUGCUAGCGUUGUUCGGAAUCACUGGGCGUAAAGCGCACGUAGGCGGCUUUUUAAGUCAGAGGUGAAAUCCUGGAGCUCAACUCCAGAACUGCCUUUGAUACUGAGAGGCUUGAGUCCGGGAGAGGUGAGUGGAACUGCGAGUGUAGAGGUGAAAUUCGUAGAUAUUCGCAAGAACACCAGUGGCGAAGGCGGCUCACUGGCCCGGUACUGACGCUGAGACGCGAAAGCGUGGGGAGCAAACAGG